rnacentral:rRNA from 1 species
AUUGAACGCUAGCGGCAGGCUUAACACAUGCAAGUCGAACGGGCACUUCGGUGUCAGUGGCAGACGGGUGAGUAACACGUGGGAACGUACCUUUUGGUUCGGAACAACUGAGGGAAACUUCAGCUAAUACCGGAUAAGCCCUUACGGGGAAAGAUUUAUCGCCGAAAGAUCGGCCCGCGUCUGAUUAGCUAGUUGGUGAGGUAAUGGCUCACCAAGGCGACGAUCAGUAGCUGGUCUGAGAGGAUGAUCAGCCACAUUGGGACUGAGACACGGCCCAAACUCCUACGGGAGGCAGCAGUGGGGAAUAUUGGACAAUGGGCGCAAGCCUGAUCCAGCCAUGCCGCGUGAGUGAUGAAGGCCCUAGGGUUGUAAAGCUCUUUUGUGCGGGAAGAUAAUGACGGUACCGCAAGAAUAAGCCCCGGCUAACUUCGUGCCAGCAGCCGCGGUAA